GAGAAAGUGUCAGAAGCAUUGGUCUCACAUAAGUGCAUCCUGAGGACAAGCUAGCUGGACCAAUUACAUGGAGAGUGCAGUAUCGGGCGCUGAUCAAGAGAUGGGGGCCAGCCAAAAAAGACUGCCUUAAGACACAAUACUUUUUUCUUCAAAUUUUCAAAAAGAUUGAGUGCACUCGCUUUUUCUCUGCUGCAGUUCAAAGGAUCUUUUCCUUUCCAUCAUUUGCCUGUGGUCGUGAACUGCUUUUAUCGCUUGAUGUCUGUCAAAUAGAAACUUGGUACAAGUCUCCUUUGUGGAGUAACGAAAGAAGGAGAAAAACUCUGACAAAAGUUAUUGAUAACUCAAAAUAAUGACUGGAACUUUUGUCUUUUUGGAGGACAAGACUGGCAGUUGAGUCAUCCUCCCUAAGAUUUCCCUUCUCUUCUUUUUUAAAUAUU
rnacentral:lncRNA from 1 species